GGCGGUUCGCUGCCAGUGAUGUCACAAGAAGUCCACUGAACCUUAUCAUUUAGAGGAAGGAGAAGUCGUAACAAGGUUUCCGUAGGUGAACCUGCGGAAGGAUCAUUGUCGAU
rnacentral:rRNA from 1 species